rnacentral:rRNA from 1 species
ACUCCUACGGGAGGCAGCAGUAGGGAAUUUUCCGCAAUGGACGAAAGUCUGACGGAGCAAUGCCGCGUGAGUGAUGAAGGUUUUCGAAUCGUAAAGCUCUGUUGUAAGGGAAGAAUAGCAGUAGUAGGAAAUGACUACUGUGUGACGGUACCUUACCAGAAAGCCACGGCUAACUACGUGCCAGCAGCCGCGGUAAUACGUAGGUGGCAAGCGUUAUCCGGAAUUAUUGGGCGUAAAGCGCAUGUAGGCGGCUCUUUAAGUCUGAUGUGAAAGCCUGUGGCUCAACCACAGAAUUGCAUUGGAUACUGGAGAGCUAGAAUCUUGGAGAGGUAAGUGGAAUUUCAUGUGUAGCGGUGGAAUGCGUAGAUAUAUGAAGGAACACCAAUGGCGAAGGCAGAUCACUAACCCUAAAUUGACGCUGAGGGGACGAAAGCGUGGGGAGCGAACAGGAUUAGAUACCCUGGUAG